GCCUCACUGACCAUUACUGACGCUGAGGUGGCGACAGCGUGGGGAGCAAACAGAAUUAGAUACCUGGUAGUCCACGCCGGUAAACGAUGAAUGUUAGCCGUUGGGAGUUUACUCUUCGGUGGCGCAGCUAACGCAUUAAACAUUCCCUUGGGGAGUACGGUCGCAAGAUUAAAACUCAAAGGAAUUGCGGGGGCCCGCACAAGCGGGGAGCAUGUGGUUUAAUUGAAGCAACGCGCAGACCCUUCCAGCCCUGACAUACCGGUCGCGGACACAGAGAUGUGUCUUUCAGUUCGGCUGGACCGGAUACAGGUGCUGCAUGGCUGGUCGUCAGCUCGUGUCGUGAGAUGUUGGGUUAAGUCCCGCAACGAGCGCAACCCUCGCCCUUAGUUGCCAGCAUUUAGUUGGGCACUCUAAGGGGACUGCCGGUGAUAAGCCGAGAGGAAGGUGGGGAUGACGUCAAGUCCUCAUGGCCCUUACGGGCUGGGCUACACACGUGCUACAAUGGUGGUGACAGUGGGCAGCGAGCACGCGAGUGUGAGCUAAUCUCCAAAAGCCAUCUCAGUUCGGAUUGCACUCUGCAACUCGAGUGCAUGAAGUGGAAUCGCUAGUAAUCGCGCUCA
rnacentral:rRNA from 1 species